rnacentral:rRNA from 1 species
CACGUAGGGGCCAAGCGUUGUCCGGAUUUAUUGGGCGUAAAGAGCUCGUAGGCGGUUUGGUAAGUCGGGUGUGAAAUCUCCACGCUCAACGUGGAGGGGCCACUCGAUACUGCCAUGACUCGAGUCCGGUAGAGGAGUGUGGAAUUCCCGGUGUAGCGGUGAAAUGCGCAGAUAUCGGGAGGAAUACCGGUGGCGAAGGCGGCAUCCUGGACCGGCAUUGACGCUGAGGAGCGAAAGCCAGGGGAGCAAACGGG